rnacentral:lncRNA from 1 species
AAAAACUAGUAUUUUAAAGACUUUGCUUUUGCUAAAUGAUGAAAGGCCAAAAGUGCACGUCAAAGCUUUAUAGUGGAUUAAUGUAUUGUAAUGUACAAACCCAGUGAGGUAGACAAACUACAUAAUAACAAUCAAUCGAACAGGUUUCCCUAAAAAUGCCCCCUUUCUUAUUUCAGUAAAUACUAAAUCAACUGCCUCUAUUUCCUGACCCGAGACGAAGCGUUUGUUCCUAAAGGUCUCAGGGACGGAUUACGGAAUGUACCGUACUGUAGGAGGAACAAGCAGGUGAGUCCAAGCACCUUAACAGGGAAACACACCCCAAUAGGGUCAGCUGCAGGGUGGUGGUGGCUCCAGAGGAACCUGCUGCUGACCCGGGAGGCUCUGGAGGAGGUGCAUCACAUCGUUGCUCUAGAUGGUUUCUCUCUAACGUAGAGGUAACGUAUGACAGUUCAUUUUUCCAUCAUCAUCAUUAUAUAACUGCAGUUUAGCUCUUGGCUGCUGUCGCCCCCCCCCUCCCUCCCCUUGAGCCUGGACCUGCUCAAGGUUUCUUCCUGUUAAAAGGGUUUUUCUUCACCACUGUUGGUGGUUUAGGGCUCAGGCCCAGGUUUGUAGAGAUAUUAUACCAGACGCUAUCUAAACAAAGAUGGACUGAAUUAACUCAGUUAAUGAUAUCUGGUAAAUCAAGUAAAGACUCCUUUCCUUUCCAUCUUGUACUGGCCUUAGUCCUGGCCUUAGUCCUGGCCUUAGUCCUAGCCUUAGUCCUAGCCUUAGUUCUGGCCUUGGUCCUGGCCUUAGUCCUGGCCUUAGCCCUGGCCAUUCCCACACGAAGCGUUUGGUCCUAAAGGUCUCAGGGACGGAUUGCGGAAUGUACCGUACUGUAGGAGGAACAAGCAGGUGAGUCCAAGCACCUUAAAUACCUGACAGCAGGGGGCGGCAGGAGUGAGAGGGCCAAGGGUCAUCAACAAGCUAGCAGACGUCUAGCCGCUAGUUGUGGCUGCAAAGGACAGCGACCUCAUGGGGAAACACACCCCAAUAGGGUCAUCUGCAGGGUGGUAGUGGCUCCAGAGGAACCUGCUGCUGACCCGGGAGGCUCUGGAGGAGGUGCAUCACAUCGUUGCUCUAGAUGGUUUCUCUCUAACGUAGAGGUAACGUAUGACAGUUCAUUUUUCCAUCA